GAUAUUUGCCCGCCUCGCUCGGCUCUCUCCCUCUCGGUUCUCUCUGUCGGAGCGUCGUCGGCGCCGUUGCCGCGGCCUCGACCCCUCCCUCACCACACCGACGCGUCCAACGGCUCCAGCGGCCUCCUCCACGUCGGCUACAAGCCCCGGAUGGAGCUCGGAGUCGGCGCAUCAAGCGGAUCGAUGCCUCCCCACCUCGUCUCCCUUCUCGAACGCCGCUGCCCUCGUCGUUGUCUCCGGCCACCUCGACCCUCCCCGAGCCCGCUGCCGACCCCUACAACACCGAUAUGGUGGAUCCCUGGAGCUAGAUGCCACCGCUGACGGAUGCUACUAUGUGGAGACCGCCAACGACCAGGAGUAGUUAGGAGGUCCCAGGCAGGAGGCCUUGCCUCUUCGAUCGUUGAUGUUUAUGCUAGCCUUCUUAAGGCAUCCUUGUUUAACUUAUGUCUGUACUCAGAUAUUGUUGCUUCCGCUGACGCUUGUGUAUCAAGCUUGUAUUCGAACCCUCGAGGCCCCUGGCUUGUAAUAUGAAGCUUGUAUUAUUUUUAUUUGUGUCUA